rnacentral:rRNA from 1 species
UUCCUACGGGAGGCAGCAGUGGGGAAUAUUGGGCAAUGGGCGCAAGCCUGACCCAGCAACGCCGCGUGAAGGAAGAAGGCUUUCGGGUUGUAAACUUCUAUCAGCAGGGAAGAAAAUGACGGUACCUGACUAAGAAGCCCCGGCUAACUACGUGCCAGCAGCCGCGGUAAUACGUAGGGGGCAAGCGUUAUCCGGAUUUACUGGGUGUAAAGGGAGCGUAGGCGGCGAUGCAAGUCAGAAGUGAAAGCCCGGGGCUCAACUCCGGGACUGCUUUUGAAACUGUGUUGCUAGAUUGCAGGAGAGGG